rnacentral:rRNA from 1 species
UACGUAGGUGGCAAGCGUUGUCCGGAUUUACUGGGAGUAAAGGAUGCGUAGGCGGACAUUUAAGUCAGAUGUGAAAGCCCCGGGCUUAACCCGGGAAGUGCAUUCGAUACUGCGUGGCUUGAGUAUCGGAGAGGUUGGUGGAAUUCUCGGUGUAGAGGUGAAAUUCGUAGAUAUCGAGAGGAACACCGGUGGCGAAGGCGGCCAACUGGACGAAUACUGACGCUGAGACACGAAAGCGUGGGGAGCAAACAGG